AAAUGAAAAUGAAAAGAUAUCAAAAGAUACUAUGAUUAAAAUAUUUUAAAAAUUAUAUUUAUUAUUAGUCUAAAUUAAAAUAUAGUAUGAAUUUCUAUGAAUAGGUCCAUUAGGUCCAUUUUUAAAAAAAUCACACAUGAAUCAAGGUUGUGACUUCUGUUUUAAUAUAUAAGAUGGAAUAGAAUGCUCAUUCCAUCAAUUCCAAAAAAAUCAAACCAAAAUACAGAACAUUCCAAAACCAUUUGGAUAAAGAAUAAAUGGAAUGAAUUCAUUCUAUUUUUCUACUGCAUUUCAUUCAUCUUAUUUCAUUCUUCUAUAUUUCAUGUAUUUUUUUCUGAUUUAUCAGUUACAACCUAAUAAUUUUAGGAACGGAUAUAUGAUUCAAUCUGCUAUAACCAUAUAUAUACAGAAAUAUAUUUAAACAUUUUAUAUAUAACUUAACUUAUAAAAAUGUUAUAUUUUAUAUAAGUUCUAAAAUAUUAUUGUCUAUUAAAUUUAUUAUAUUAGUUAUUAAAAUUUUAAAACAUCCAAUUCUUUUGAUACUAUCUAAAAUACCUUAAAUAUAUAAAAGAGUUGUCACAAGAACAUUUUUCAUUUCAAAUUUGUGGAUUUUUGUCCUUGUUUCAUUGAAUUUUUAUUUGGCUUUCAAAUAAUUAAGUAGAAAUCAGUAACCGUAAAUCCGAUUAAGGGAAAAUGAGCAUUUAAUUCCCGAAGUAUUUGAAAUCGGCAGUUUUAAUACUCAAGUAUUGCUUGUGCAAAUUUAUUCCACAACUAAUAGUUGACUACGUAAAAUUAAGAACAAAAUAGUCAACUGUUAACUAAUGAAUGGAAAAAUAACGGUUUCCAGAAACUUUUUAACAGUAGAAUAUUUUAAUCAUGAUUUUGCGCAGUCAAUGAUUAGUUGGGAAAUAAAUAAACGCAUAUAAUACUUGAGUAUUUAAUUUGCCGAUUGAAAAUACUUGAGGAAUUAUAAGCAACACUCUUUUUUUUAGAAAAUCAUAAUUUGAAAUAUUCUCAAGUUAGAUAUAACCAAUAUACGAGAGUUUUAUCUAUUUGAAAGAGAUUUUUGAGUUUUAACAAUGACGUAUAAAAUAAUACAAAUAAUAUAGUUGCAUCGUAUUGUUCGUAUUGUUGAUGUACUUCAUGUUUAUAAAAUCACUUAUGGAUGAUUUCGUAUUGCUUAGACCAUUAUAUGUUGUACAUUGGAUCUCUACUGUAGACAAUCAUAUCUAAUUAUCUGUACUUUACACAUUCAUAUAUUGUACAUCAGCAAUGCAAUGCAAAUGUAAUUAUAUUAUGUUAUUUUAUAUGCUUUUAUAAACUAAAUAAAUCUUUUUUGGAAUUAAAUAUCUUGUAUAUUAUUUCAAAUUAUGAAUCUUUCUUAGGAAAUUCUCUCAAAUAGCUAUUUUUAAUUUUUUGUCACAAAAAUAGCCAUCAAGAAAGAAAAUGACCAAAAUAGCUUCUUUUUUGAAAAUUUUAAUAUUUAUUUUUUAUUUUUAAAAAUUUGAAACCAUAUCCCCAAAAUCACACCCUUUUAACUCUAAACGCUAAGUAUAAAUUAGUUAACCCUAGGGUAGAAAUAUAUUUUUACCAUUUAAUAAAAUUUAUUUUGGUCAUUUUCUUCAUUGAGGGCUAAUUUUGUGACAAAAACUAAAGAAGACCAUCUUAGGGAAUUUCUCAUCUUUCUAACUAUGAAUUAUUUUAAAAAUCAUCUAAAGUGAUAUAAACAUGAAGUACAUCAACAAUACGAUGUAACUGUAAUUAUUUUGUAUUGUUUUAUAUGUCAUUGUAAAAAAUCAACAAUCUCUUUCUAAAGGUAAAUAUCUCGUAUAGUGAUUUUAUUUAACCUGAAAAUAUUUUUACUUAUGUUUAUUUAAAGGGAUUGAUGUUAGUGACUUUCAAUCUUAUAAGAAAUAUAAAGAAAAAAAUGAGUUUUUAAUUCCUCAAGUAUUUUCAAUCGGCAAAUUAAAUACUCAAAUGUUAUAUGCGCAUAUUUAUUCCCCAACUAAUCAUUGACUGCGCAAAACCAUGAUUAGAAUAUUCUACCUUUAAAAAGUUGAAGGAAACCAUUAUUUUUCCGUUCAUCAGUUAACAGUUGACUAUUUUGUUUUCAUUUUUGCGCAGUCAACUAUUAGUUGAGGAAUAAAUAUGCGCAAGCAAUACUUGAGUAUUAAAACUGCCGAUUUCAAAUACUUCGGAAAUUAAAUGCCCAUUUUCCCAUCCGAUUAAGAUCCGAAACCAGAAAUUAUAUCGAGUUCAAGCGGAUUUUAGAGAUGUUACUAAACCUGAACUAAACCCGACUAAAUCCAAACUGAAUCUGAACAUAACUUUUAUAAUAUCAGAAACCCAAAAAUCUGAAACCCAACUAAACCCGAACUGGAAUCUGAUUUCCUGAAUGCCCAACCCUAGUUUUUCCACAUCUUAUUUAUACUCUUUGUAAGGUGAUAAAGGAAGCGCAAAGUUAAAGAGUUCUCAAAGCUAUUUAUAUGAGUUUAUAAAACAUUUAUAAAAAUAAAAUUUGUCCUAUAUAUGAAACUAGAAGUCACUUAAGUGAUUUUUUCUCACAUGUCGAUCAUUUGUGAAGUUCUCGCAAAAUUGUUAUAACUUUCUUGAUCAAUUAAUUUUAAUAUUAUUUAUUUUAGUUUAAAUUUAAAAUAAUAAUCUAGAACCAAAUAAUACCACUUCUCAAAUAAUAUAAAUUAUAUUACAAAUAGUUACUUAUUGUAACGAAUUGUUGAAACUAUAUAAAAAAUAAUAACGCUUGAUCAAUUCUUUUUAUAUUUAUAAACUGCAUAAUAUAAUGAACGGAAUUUUUAUAAUUUUUAAUUAUUUUAAUUAGGUCUAAAUUAAAAGGUAAGUUUAAAACUAAUUAUUAUUUCUUGCCAAAUAACCUAAAUGAUAUUACAAAUAAUAAUUAAUGGUAGCCGAUUUUCAAAAUUAUAGAAAGUGUAAUAAUGUCUGAUCAAUAAUGAAUAGAAAACAAUUUAUAGAAAUUGAUAUAAUGAUUUCAUAUUCAUUCAAAAUAUAGUCGUAUAUAUAAUAAUUAUUAAUCUCUUGUAAUGUUCAUAUAUGCUUUAUAAAUAAUUAGGCUUUAAAAAUUGGACGGAUUAUAUUUAAUGGAACAUGUGAAAACUUUUAUUUAAAAAAUGUGUUGCAUUUAAGUCAAAUAAUAUAGUGAAUAAAGUAAUGUUAUGAUUGAAAAGAAUUCUAAGAUAGAUUUUUAGUUCAUUGAUUGUAUGUUUUGUAUUACUGUUUAGAGAGAAAUUGGACGGAUUAUAUUUAACGGAACAUGUGAAAACUUUUAUUUAAAAAAUGUGUUGCAUUUAAGUCAAAUAAUAUAGUGAAUAAAGUAAUGUUAUGAUUGAAAAGAAUUCUAAGAUAGAUUUUUAGUUCAUUGAUUGUAUGUUUUGUAUUACUGUUUAGAGAGAAAAGUAAAUAUUUGGCAAAAAUAUGUAAAAAAAAAAGGAAAACAUUAGCAAAUAUUUAAUAAAAAAAUGAAAUUAUAGUGAGAAAAAUAAGAAGAGACCGAUGAAGAAGCAUAAUAUGUAUUGGAGAAGUUAAUGUGAUAAUUACAUAUAUAAUUCCACAAGCAUUUUUAUUUCUAAAUAUUCAUCAAUUAUUUUUACAUCAAAUUUAUAGAAACUUUACCACUGAUUUUCAAACUAUUUGAAGUUAAAAAUUAUAUUUUAAAUAUUUCUAAUUAUUAUUCAAAAUAUAUGACAUUGUAUACAUAAUAUAUAUUUUCAUACGUAUUUAAAUCUUUGAAUUCACGGACAACCACCUAGCAGUCAAUUAUAAUAGGAUUCUAAAUUAGUAAAUUAGAUAACUCUUUUCUUUGUGUGUUUGUGUUGUUGAUUCAACAGAGGAGAUGGAAUUAAAAAGGUUGAAGCAAAAGGGAGCCUGCAUGCACUACAUCGAUUCAUAUCGUAUAGAUUUCAACAAGGAAUUCCCUGGAACCAAAUUUGUUGGAGAUAUGGUUUUAAGUGGCUGAAAUAAAUGGAGACAAAUGACUUUAGAUGAUAAAAGUUCUUAUGUAGAAAUGGCUGAGAAAAUUACGACUCGGUACUGCGAGAGUUACGCGUAACAUAUAUGAUAUAAAAUUGACUUUUCUAAUUAAUUGUGUUUGAUUAUCAUCAUUUGAAUUUUAAUAUUUUAUCUAUUUUUAUACAUGUACAGUGGGUCUCUGCUUAUGUGAUUAGUUGAAUGAAUGAAGACAAAGCUAUUUUCGCCGCUCCAAAGAAGGACAAGGAAAAGAGAAUGCUGCAAUGAAGGAGGAGCCAAAAAAGGAGAAGAAACAAAAAUUGAAGAGAAGAGGCUUGGUGAAAAAAAAUAUUUUUAUCAUACCGAAUGAGACUUGAAGAACUUUAGACUUUUAAUGAUUUUGUUAGAUCCCAGAUUUGUAAUGAUAUAUGAUCAUAAAACUUUUGCAAGAUGGUCAUGAUUGUUUAAGAAAGUUAGAUUUUUUUUUUGACAUCAUGUUUAAGAAAGUUAUACAAAUAUAAGUUAAAAUGGAAAUAUUUUUUUUUGUUUUAAGAAAAAAAAUCAUUUUAUUUUUAAUGAUAAACUAAAAGUUAGCUAUAUACUAUUAUAUUUUAUAUAUCAUUAUGUUUAGAUAAUAUAUUAUUGUGAGUUUCAGAAAAGAUUAAUAUAUAGUUGCUGAUAUAAAAAUUAACAUAUGUUUAUCAAAAUAUUACAUAGUUUACGAUUUUAACAUGUUUAACGGUGAAUCUGCCUAUUUAAUAUAAUUUAGUCAUUUUUAAUUUAUAUAGUACUUCGAUUUUAAAAUAAAAUUUAUAUUAAUAUCAUUAUGAAUUAUUAACAUUUCAAAUAUUUAUAAUGGUAUAUUUUAUAAAUAACAUAUGAACUAGGUCGCCAUUUUAUUUGUUUAUGCCAAGCUGGCUUUCGAGUUCAGAAUCUGGUUAGGAUUAAUAUAGCUUCUGUUGAUGAAAAAAAAAUAUAUAUGCAGAUUUUCAUAAAAUACUAUAUAUUUAUUUGAUUAUUGUAAACAAUCAAGUAAGUGAUAUUAAAUCUAUAAGGAAAUGGUCUUAAUAUGACUUUGCGUAUUAGAUGUUUUUAGUGACUCUAUUUUUUUUUUUUUGAAAUGUUAAAUUUAUUUAUCAACAACAGCGAAAAUGUUUACAAUACUGAAUAUUUGGUAAGAUUACAAAACUUGCAUAAAACUUGAAUUGGAUACGAGACUUGCAAGCCUUUUCUAAAUGCUUCGCUCCAGCCACCUAAUCAUCAUGCUUCCGUAGAAAGCCACAUUCUUGAAAUGUAAAGAGGACACUCUGUUUCUAAUGGUUUUAUCCAUUGUGCGAAUGAGUUCUGAUGCAUUACGAUAGGUAGUAUUAUGCUUCCUAUUGUUUCUUUCGCACCAAACUCCAUGGAUAACUGUUUGGAAUGUCAAACAAAGAAGGCACAGAUCAACAGCACUACGUCAAGGAGAGAGGAGUGUUGUCACCGUGAAGUUCCAAUCAGGAGAAGGGCGUGGCAAGAUGGCUUUGGUAAGUUCUGUCCAGAUGGUGUAUGAGUAUGGACAAGCAAAGAAAAGGUGGUCGCGAGUCUCAUUCGGUUCUCUACAGAGGCGACAAGCUUAGUUUUAGUGACUCUAUUUCAAUGGAGUAGAUAACCUUUUUGUUAUAUUGAUCAAAAAAGUUAAAAUUAAUGUAUAAAAUUAAUUAAGUAUUAGAAUAAGACUUGACCAAACUAAACUAAAAAAAAAACUAAAAUACAAUAAAAUUAGAAUCAACACACAUUAUAUAAUAAUUAUAAAUGAAAGUCGAAUCAGUUUAAAUAUGUAAUUCUUGCGUAGUGCAGAAAAAAUCUCUAGGUUACUCCUUUUCCUUUUGUACAAAAUCGUUGUGCAACUUGAUCGAAACCUAAACAUUUCAUAAUCCAAAUUUUACUUAAUCAUUAUAUUGGGACAUAAAACUAUAUCUUUUUUUGUUUAACUGCCAUAAACUGUACCAAAUUCAAUUUUUUGGUCAACCUAUUUCAGAUAUUUUUUAUCCACCACAAAUCAAAUUUAAAGUCCAGUAAAAACUAUAAAAUUAAAUAAUUUUGUAACUAUAUAGUUUUAAGAUUUUCUAGAGUUAUUAACUUAAAAUAACAGCUAAUUACAAUUCUAUAUUUUUAAAUUUUAUUUUGGAUAAAAUAAGAAAAAUAAUUUAAUUUAUUGUUCGUAUAAAUUAUUAAACUUUUAAAUCCGAAUUUAAUAUUCUUUUCUUACACUAUUUAAUUUAUAUAUUUACAACUACCUAAGUAAACCCUAACCCACAUAAAAUCAACUUUUAAACAUGAAAACGUUAUUGAUCAAUCAAAUUAGUACGAAGAUAAGAUACGAAAACAUCAACACAUGAAUUUCUUGGUCAUUAUUAUAUCAAUCUAAUUAAGCUGUGUGACUUCCAAUGUUCUAUUCAUCACCAUUGUAAACAACACAGAAAAAACAAGAAUUAGAAAAAAAGAACAAAGAAAAGAAUCCCUACACAAAAUUACUCAAGG